AAGUCGAACGCGAAAGCCUGGGCAACUGGGUGAGUAGAGUGGCGCACGGGUGAGUAACACGUGGGUAACCUACCUUUGAGUGGGGAAUAACUCCUCGAAAGGGGAGCUAAUACCGCAUAAGACCACGACUUCUUUGGGAGUUGCGAUCAAAGGUGGCCUCAUCGAGCAGAGUGUUUGGGACGAUCUUCCCGAGGGAGGAUGGUCCUUAGCGCUUUGCACAGUGAAGCUGCCGCUCGAAGAGGGGCCCGCGGCCCAUCAGCUAGUUGGUAGGGUGACGGCCUACCAAGGCGACGACGGGUAGCUGGUCUGAGAGGACGACCAGCCACACGGGAAUUGAGAUACGGUCCCGACUCCUACGGGAGGCAGCAGUGGGGAAUCUUGGGCAAUGGGGGAAACCCUGACCCAGCGACGCCGCGUGGGGGAUGAAGGCCUUCGGGUCGUAAACCCCUGUUAGGUGGGACGAACGUCUCCCUGCAAAUAGCUGGGGGAUCUGACGGUACCACCAGAGAAAGCCCCGGCUAACUCCGUGCCAGCAGCCGCGGUAAUACGGAGGGGGCGAGUGUUGUUCGGAAUUACUGGGCGUAAAGGGCGCGCAGGCGGCUUGGCAAGUCGAGUGUGAAAUCCCUUGGCUUAACUGAGGAACAGCGCUCGAAACUACCUCGCUGGAGGGCGGGAAAAGGGAAGUGGAACUCUCGGUGUAGGGGGUGAAAUCUGUAGAUAUCGAGAGGAACACCGGUGGCGAAGGCGGCUUCCUGGCCCCGUACUUGACGCUGAGGCGCGAAAGCGUGGGGAGC
rnacentral:rRNA from 1 species